CCCCAAACCUAGCCCUUCUUUCUAGCUCCAGCCGCCGCCCUUCUCUUCUCCAUCUCCGUUUGUCUUUGUCUUUAUCAAUCUUAUUUAGGCAAAUAUGUGGAAUUAGUAGAGCUUCAUUAACAAGCUAAGAGAUGUUGAAUGAACAUAACGACAGGAAAGAGAGGAGAAGAUCGUGCGGCAUUGAGUCUCAAGCAAGAUAUUAGUACUAUAGUUGGUGGCAUAGAUCAAUUUAAAGGAGAAGAUCGUACAGCAUUGAGUCUCAAGCAAGAUAUUAGUACUAUAGUUGGUGGCAUAGAUCAAUUUAAAGGAGAAGAUCGUACAGCAUUGAGUCUCAAGCAAGAUAUUAGUACUAUAGUUGGUGGCGUAGAUCAAUUUAAAGGAGAAGAUCGUACAGCAUUGAGUCUCAAGCAAGAUAUUAGUACUAUAGUUGGUGGCAUAGAUCAAAAUUUAAAGGAGAAGAUCGUACAGCAUUGAGUCUCAAGCAAGAUAUUAGUACUAUAGUUGGUGGCAUAGAUCAAUUUAAAGGAGAAGAUCGUACAGCAUUGAGUCUCAAGCAAGAUAUUAGUACUAUAGUUGGUGGCAUAGAUCAAUUAUGUACUCUAAAUGUUUUGAAAUUUCAAAAUACAAUUAUGUAUCAGUUGUAACUUAUUUGGAAUCUGAAAAAUAUGUAUUCUUAGCUACACUACAAAUAUUCUUGUACUAACAAAUCAUGUGAAAGAUUUUUCUGUUUAUAGCAAUAAAAUUAUUAAAUUA